AGAAUCAACGCUGGCGGCGUGCCUAACACAUGCAAGUCGCACGAGAAAGGGGAGCAAUCCCUGAGUACAGUGGCGCACGGGUGAGUAACACGUGAAUAAUCUACCUCCGAGUGGGGAAUAAACUGAGAGAAAUCUUAGCUAAUACCGCAUAAUACCCACGGGUCAAAGCAGCAAUGCGCUUGGAGAGGAGUUCGCGGCAGGAUUAGUUAGUUGGCGGGGUAAUGGCCCACCGAAGACGAUGAUCUGUA
rnacentral:rRNA from 1 species